GGACGAACGCUGGCGGCGUGCUUAACACAUGCAAGUCGAGCGGUAAGGCCCUUCGGGGUACACGAGCGGCGAACGGGUGAGUAACACGUGGGUGAUCUGCCUCGCACUUCGGGAUAAGCCUGGGAAACUGGGUCUAAUACCGGAUAUGACUUCCAGCUGCAUGGUUGGUGGUGGAAAGAUUUAUCGGUGCGAGAUGGGCCCGCGGCCUAUCAGCUUGUUGGUGGGGUAAUGGCCUACCAAGGCGACGACGGGUAGCCGGCCUGAGAGGGCGACCGGCCACACUGGGACUGAGACACGGCCCAGACUCCUACGGGAGGCAGCAGUGGGGAAUAUUGCACAAUGGGCGAAAGCCUGAUGCAGCGACGCCGCGUGAGGGAUGACGGCCUUCGGGUUGUAAACCUCUUUCGACAGGGACGAAGCGCAAGUGACGGUACCUGUAGAAGAAGCACCGGCCAACUACGU
rnacentral:rRNA from 2 species